GCGUACAUAAUACACUUUAAUACAUAGUACAAUUUUUUUUUUUUUUGGUAAUUAGGAUAGUUAUAUUAUAUUAGCUUCAUAACAAAAACUACAGGGAGGAGCUUGGUAGCAUAGCCAUCGUAGUAUCUGCACGUAGUGUAAUAUUUACAGACCAUCCAUUUGAGUCUACCGUACAACUAGUAGGAAUAUUAACAGAAACACUAGGCGGCAAAACUGCUGCAGAUUUAACACACCUAGUAGCAAGAUCUCCUCGCAUAUCAGCUUGCAAAAACUUCAUCAAGUCCUGAGGAGGUGACCAAAAAGUGGAUAUAGUAUCCAUAACCGAAGUACUAUUAUAUAAACUGGAUGGUAGUGCAGUAGAGACAUUUUUUUUUGUUAGGCUAUCAGCUAACCUGUUUUGCUCCUUGUAGACCGAACUCACCAUCGGAUUACCCAUCUGUAGGAGCAGAUACCUGCAGUCAUCCAAAAGCAAAAAGCUAUCAGUAAAAUUAUUAGCACUUGUUAACAUGGUUGCAAUUUGCUUAGCAUCCACAUUUAUUUCGAGAGAUUUGAAAUUAUGUUUAACAGCUAGCCGCAAUCCUGCAAAAAAUGCUAAAAGUUCUAGUUGAGUUAUGUCCUGAACAGUUGUAAAAGCAGUAAAACCCAUAACCCAUUUGCUCUUGAAAUUGCGGAAAACCCCCCUAGACCGCCAAUACUAUGCUCAGAAGAUACAACAACAUCGGUAUUUAACAUGAGGUUGCUACUUUUAGGAGGGUUCCAUUUGACAUAAAUAGUGAUGGGAAUACUGGGAGUAUGUGAGUUCCUUACCAAAUACCAAUAUCCCGCAGUUGUAUUAAUAGUCAAAAAUGGUGAUAGUUCAGUCCCAUGUCCAUCAAAAAGACACUUAUUACAUUGGGUCCAAAUAACCCACAAGCAGUAGGGGAGUAGGACUCCCAGCGGUAAAAGGGGAGAAGUGGAAGCCUAUCUAUUAACGUUAUCUUUAAGUCAAGAGAGAAAGAUAUAAGGAGCGUACGAGUAUUGCAGGGGCAACGUGAGGGACGGACCCAAGCCUAUUGAAAUACUAAGCUUUUCCCAGAAAUAGCCCAGUCCCGAGCACGAAAAGAACAAGUGAUAUGAAGUCUCGGGUACUCCCUGUUGACAAAGUCUACAGAUAGGCGACUGCAGGCAUGAAAUGUGGUGCAAGUAAGCAGAAUUAGGAAGCCUAUUCAGACUUAACAACCACAAAAAAUAUUUAAUCUUAGGGGCAAUACUUAGAUUUCAUAACCAGCAACUAUAAGUUUGAAGUGUAGGAUUAUUUUCAUUAGAUUUGAUUUGGUUGUAGCAAGAUUAGACAGUAAACCUUCUCGUGGGUGUAAGUCCCCAUUUAGUACGAUCGUAAGCAUUUGCAGAAGUAGGGAAGUGAACGGUAAAUAUUUGACUAGUCA
rnacentral:lncRNA from 1 species